AAUCAACGCUGGCGGCGUGCCUAACACAUGCAAGUCGAACGCGAAAGGGGGCUUCGGCUCCUGAGUAGAGUGGCGUCCGGGUGAGUAACACGUAGGUAAUCUGCCUUCGGGUGGGGAAUAACCAGUCGAAAGAUUGGCUAAUACCGCAUAAUGCAGCGGCACCUAAUGGUGAUUAGUUGUUAAAGCGGGGGAUCGCAAGACCUCGCGCCUGAAGAGGAGCCUGCGGCAGAUUAGCUAGUUGGUGAGGUAAUGGCUCACCAAGGCUUCGAUCUGUAGCUGGUCUGAGAGGACGGCCAGCCACACUGGCACUGACACACGGGCCAGACUCCUACGGGAGGCAGCAGUGGGAAUUUUGGGCAAUGGGCGAAAGCCUGACCCAGCAACGCCGCGUGAGGGAGGAAUCCUUCGGGAUGUAAACCUCACAAGCAAGGGAAGAGAGCUCAGGGGUGAAUACCCCUGAGUCCGACGGUACCUUGCGUAAGCCACGGCUAACU
rnacentral:rRNA from 1 species